UAAGCCCUAAAAGAAGAAAUGAUUUGAACUCAGAGAGCCCUACCCAAGAAGCCAACACGGAUCCUCUGUCUUUAGUGGACAAUGCGACCUGCUAGUAGCUUCUGAGGAGAAGACUCCGUUGGGUGGAAGGAAUUCCUGUUUCUGGAGAGCAUCUGAUGUCAUCUCCUUUGCUUUCAUACUACCCAGAAGAGGUAUGCCACACUGGGAGAAAUUAUAUGGCCAAGAAGGAUGUCAUGCCACCAGACACAUCAACUCAUGCUGGAGACCCAACGAGAAACUUUUGUCACCCAAUGGGACCAUGCCAACACAGGCGUCUCACAGAAGAAAAAUAGGUCAGAGCGUCUGAAUGAAAAAACAUGAUGAGAAGACUGGCUUUGAAAGGCUCACAGUAUAAACCAUAGAAGUAUCCCUUAGAGGCUACAUAAACCUUACCUUGCAUAAAGCAUACUUUAGAAAUUUCAACUGGUGUUUUUGAAGUUGAGUGAAGACAUCUCAGAGUUGGUUGGUAAUUCUGAGUCACAGUUUCUCUUUAGAUGCAAUGUUCUAAUAUGUUAAAACAAAGCCUGACAUUGCUGGCUUGUGCGGUAGGAUCAAGAAUUGACAAAUGGGACCUCAUAAAAUUGCAAAGCUUCUGUAAGGCAAAAGACACUGUCAAUAAGACAAA